AUUGAACGCUGGCGGCAGGCCUAACACCUGCAAGUCGACCGCGUGGCGGACGGGUGAGUAAUGUCUGUGAAACUGCCUGAUUGAGGGGGAUAACUACUGGAAACGGUAGCUAAUACCGCAUCCCAUCAGAUGUUCCACGAUGGGAUUAGCUAGUUGGUGGGGUAACGGCUCACCAAGGCGACGAUCCCUAGCUGGUCUGAGAGGAUGACCAGCCACACUGGAACUGAGACACGGUCCAGACUCCUACGGUAGGCAGCAGUGGGGAAUAUUGCACAAGGGGCGAAAGCCUGAGGGAGCCAUGCCGCGUGUAUGAAGAAGGCCUUCGGGUGGUAAAGUACUUUCAGCGGGGAGGCGUUACCCGCAGAAGAAGCACAGGCUAACUCCGUGCCAGCCGCCGCGGUAAUUC
rnacentral:rRNA from 1 species